rnacentral:rRNA from 1 species
UACGAAGGGGGCUAGCGUUGCUCGGAAUCACUGGGCGUAAAGGGUGCGUAGGCGGGUCUUUUAAGUCAGGGGUGAAAUCCUGGAGCUCAACUCCAGAACUGCCUUUGAUACUGAGGAUCUUGAGUUCGGGAGAGGUGAGUGGAACUGCGAGUGUAGAGGUGAAAUUCGUAGAUAUUCGCAAGAACACCAGUGGCGAAGGCGGCUCACUGGCCCGAUACUGACGCUGAGGCACGAAAGCGUGGGAGCAAACAGG